GACGGAGGAUGCAAGUGUUAUCCGGAAUCACUGGGCGUAAAGCGUCUGUAGGUUGUUUAAAAAGUCUGCAGUUAAAGGUUGAAGCUUAACUUCAAAAAUGCCGUAGAAACUUUUAAACUAGAGGAUGGUAGGGGUAGAGGGAAUUUCCAGUGGAGCGGUGAAAUGUGUAGAUAUUGGAAAGACCACCGAUGGCGAAGGCACUCUACUGGGCCAUGACUGACACUGAGGGACGAAAGCUAGGGGAGCGAAAGGG
rnacentral:rRNA from 1 species